rnacentral:rRNA from 1 species
GAUGAACGCUGGCGGCGUGCCUAAUACAUGCAAGUCGAGCGAACAGACGAGGAGCUUGCUCCUCUGACGUUAGCGGCGGACGGGUGAGUAACACGUGGAUAACCUACCUAUAAGACUGGGAUAACUUCGGGAAACCGGAGCUAAUACCGGAUAACAUGUUGAACCGCAUGGUUCAACAGUGAAAUACGGUUUUGCUGUCACUUAUAGAUGGAUCCGCGUCGCAUUAGCUAGUUGGUAAGGUAACGGCUUACCAAGGCAACGAUGCGUAGCCGACCUGAGAGGGUGAUCGGCCACACUGGAACUGAGACACGGUCCAGACUCCUACGGGAGGCAGCAGUAGGGAAUCUUACGCAAUGGGCGAAAGCAUGACGGAGCAACGCCACGUGAGUGAAGAAGGUCUUCGGAUCGUAAAACUCUGUUAUUAGGGAAGAACAAAUGUGUAAGUAACUAUGCACGUAUUGACGGUACCUAAUCAGAAAGCCACGGCUAACUACGUG